UCCCUCUCAGGGUUGCAUCUGGAGGGUUUCCAGUCCUCUACCAGUCUCGGCUACGGGAGGGAGAGUCAAGCAGAGGCCUGUCCGUUCCGUUCCUAGCUUGGGCAGUGGCUAGCGAGGGGAAGGCGAUCUGCUGCAAGU
rfam:Ornithorhynchus anatinus chromosome 2, whole genome shotgun sequence.